UGGGGAAUAUUGCACAAUGGGCGCAAGCCUGAUGCAGCCAUGCCGCGUGUAUGAAGAAGGCCUUCGGGUUGUAAAGUACUUUCAGCGGGGAGGAAGGUGUUGAGGUUAAUAACCUCAGCAAUUGACGUUACCCGCAGAAGAAGCACCGGCUAACUCCGUGCCAGCAGCCGCGGUCAUACGGAGGGUGCAAGCGUUAAUCGGAAUUACUGGGCGUAAAGCGCACGCAGGCGGUCUGUCAAGUCGGAUGUGAAAUCCCCGGGCUCAACCUGGGAACUGCAUUCGAAACUGGCAGGCUAGAGUCUUGUAGAGGGGGGUAGAAUUCCAGGUGUAGCGGUGAAAUGCGUAGAGAUCUGGAGGAAUACCGGUGGCGAAGGCGGCCCCCUGGACAAAGACUGACGCUCAGGUGCGAAAGCGUGGGGAGCAAACA
rnacentral:rRNA from 1 species